rnacentral:tRNA from 1 species
UAGUUCAGCGGUAGAACACCACCUUGCCAAGGUGGGGGUCGCGGGUUCGAGUCCCGUCUUCCGCUCUUGAUC